rnacentral:rRNA from 1 species
AUGAACGCUGGCGGCGUGCUUAACACAUGCAAGUCGAACGGAAAGGCCCAAGCUUGCUUGGGUACUCGAGUGGCGAACGGGUGAGUAACACGUGGGUGAUCUGCCCUGCACUUCGGGAUAAGCCUGUGAAACUGGGUCUAAUACUGGAUAGGACCACUUCUUGGCUGGUGUGGUGGAAAGUUUUUUCGGUGUGGGAUGAGCUCGCGGCCUAUCAGCUUGUUGGUGGGGUAAUGGCGUACCAAGGCGUCGACGGGUAGCCGGCCUGAGAGGGUGUACGGCCACAUUGGGACUGAGAGACGGCCCAGACUCCUACGGGAGGCAGCAGUGGGGAAUAUUGCACAAUGGGCGCAAGCCUGAUGGAGCGACGCCGCGUGGGGGAUGACGGCCUUCGGGUUGUAAACACCUUUCGCUAGGGACGAAGCGUUUUUGUGACGGUACCUGGAGAAGAAGCACCGGCUAACUACGUG